rnacentral:lncRNA from 1 species
CAAAAAUGCCAGCAAAACUUUAUAGUAGUUAGGGAAAACCUUCAUACCAUAAUGCAAGGCUGACAUUUGAGGGAAGAAAGGGAGAUUGUUUAAGAAGAGUUGAAGAGUGUUGUACAGCACCAGUGAAGUCUUACCCAGGCUGCCCACUACAGGAGUCCUGUAUUGGUUACUAAUAGUCCAGUUCUAGAACUUUUCCACUGUGCUCAGUCAUUGGCUGGCAGCAGCUUGGAGAGUGACUCAUCUUGGUGUGGGCCCUGAGGAAAAUCCUACAAAUACAUAUUGACAGCUAAUGUUACCCCUGACAAGUUCUCUCCUGAAAAGAGAUUUGAGUACAGUUUUAGAGGUUUCAAAUCGGCCUUGUUAAAUCAAGUUUAGCCUAAAGCUGUCUCCUUUUAUAUUUUAAGUUUGGCCUAAAGGUUUUGUUAUGGGCAGGUCUUUGUUGUUAGAGCUUCCAAGAUGGUGGCAAGCCUUUUGUUCUCAACCUGGGGUUCUUGGACUCACGGAUUCCAAGGAAUGGAAAUGUGGGCCAUGCGGUGGUGUCAGAAGUGGGAUUUGAAGUAGAGCUUCCAGAAACUUCCAGGAGCACUGAGUGACCAGGCAAGGUAUCUGCCAGGCCCACUGUGUGGAUUGUGCUCUUGCAGCAACUGGGGAUCAUGGCUUUUUCAUUUGGGUAAAUGAACUGACUCCAGCCAGACUUGUGACUCAUACCAAGGAACUCACUCAACUGGUCCUGUGACCUCACCCAGAAACUGACUCAGCACAUGAAGACAGUUUGGAUAUUCCUAUAAUUUCAUCUCCAACCAAUCAGCAGCACCUGUCAUCUAGCCCCCUGCCCUCCAAAUUAUCCUUAAAAACCCUAGCCUCCAAGCUCUCAGAGAGGCAGAAUUGAAAAAAAUCUCCCAUCCUUCCACUCCCCUUGAAAUAAUUAAACUCCUUCUCUUAUAUGAAAC